rnacentral:rRNA from 1 species
UACAGAGGGUGCAAACGUUGCUCGGAAUUAUUGGGCGUAAAGCGCGUGUAGGUGGUUUGUUAAGUCGGUUGUGAAAUCCCAUGGCUCAACCAUGGAAGUGCUGCCGAAACUGGCGAACUAGAGUCCCGACGAGGAUGGCGGAAUUCCCGGUGUAGCGGUGAAAUGCGCAGAUAUCGGGAGGAACACCGGUGGCGAAGGCGGUUCUCUGGGCCUGAACUGACGCUGAGGAGCGAAAGCGUGGGGAGCGAACAGG